rnacentral:rRNA from 1 species
AGAUUGAACGCUGGCGGCAUGCCUUACACAUGCAAGUCGAACGGCAGCACGGGGGGCAACCCUGGUGGCGAGUGGCGAACGGGUGAGUAAUGCAUCGGAACGUGCCCAGUAGUGGGGGAUAACUAGUCGAAAGAUUAGCUAAUACCGCAUACGACCUAUGGGUGAAAGCGGGGGAUUCGCAAGAACCUCGCGCUAUCGGAGCGGCCGAUGUCUGAUUAGCUAGUUGGCGGGUAAAAGCCCACCAAGGCUUCGAUCAGUAGCUGGUCUGAGAGGACGACCAGCCACACGUGGGACUGAGACACGGCCCAGACUCCUACGGGAGCAGCGAGUGGGGAAUUUUGGACAAGUGGGCGCAAGGCCUGAUCCAGCCAUGCCGCGUGCGGGAAGAACGGCUUACGGUGUAACCGUCUUUUGGCCAAGGAACGAAACGGCGACGACGCGGAAUACUUCGU